UGUGGUUUAAUUCGAUACAACACGCAAAACCUUACAAGCCCUUGACAUAUGAACAAGAAAACCUGUCCUUAACGGGAUGGUACUCACUUUCAUACAGGUGCUGCAUAGCUGUCGUCAGCUCGUGUCAUGAGAUGUUUGGUCAAGUCCUAUAACGAGCGAAACCCUCGUUUUGUGUUGUUUCUAGUAAAUGUUUUCUUCCAACUAAACACAUCACAUAUUCAUAUUAUUAGACAUUAGUUAAUUUGAUUAUUCAUCAUACUUUAGUCUAUGCACG
rnacentral:ncRNA from 1 species